GAAAUGCGAUAAGUAAUGUGAAUUGCAGAAUUCCGUGAAUCAUCGAAUCUUUGAACGCACAUUGCGCCCUCUGGUAUUCCGGGGGGCACGCCUGUCCGAGCGUCAUUGCAACCCCUCAAGCCCGGCUUGUGUGAUGGGCGCCUGUCCCCCCCGUCCUCCGGGGGGGACACGCCUGAAAGGCAGUGGCGGCGUCGCGGUUAUCCGAUUUGCCUGAGCGUAUGGGGCUUUGUCACGCGCUCACGGUGAGGACCGGCGCCGGCCCAACCACCUCUCUAUUCUGUGGUUGACCUCGGAUCAGGUGGGGAUACCCGCUGAACUUAA
rnacentral:misc_RNA from 1 species